UUUCGUUUUAUUUAUCACUGGAGGAAGAGCAAUGCCAUAAUAAACAGUGCUGGGAGAUUUCCAGCAGAACAGGUUUUUGUCAGAGGAUGCUGAUUUGUCGUAAGCAAAAUAUUUCGCAGAAGCACAUCUGUUUGGGUGAACUUCCGCUGCAGCCCAGGCAGGUUUCCAUCACUGUCCUGCCUGACUUCCGGCCAGCCUGCCUGGCCGCUCUCCAGGCUCCGGGACGGCUCGGGACUAAACCUGGGAUUCUUUCUGAUUCCUUGUUUUGUUUUGUUUUUUUUUCCCCUCUCUUUUGAAACGAGAGGUAAAAGGUCUUGGAAGAAAUAUAAACCAGCCCUGCAUGCCUUUUUCCAAUUGUUCAGCAUUCGUUUUGUGGGGGUUUUUUUAAUAAUGAUGACAUUGCACAGCACAUCUUGAUUUGUUACAUGGGAGAGCCAGAAUAGCUUUCCUCCCUGAUGAAGGUUAAGCUGCCCUGGAAAUGAAACAGUUUUCAUGCCAUGUUGAGCUUCAUUUCAGAGCAUUUCCUGGAGAACUGGUGCCAGUAUCUUCUCCUCCUCCCUAUUUUCUAAACACUUAAUUGCAUCGCAGUCCCUCUGAAACAGCAGUGCCUUUCUGCUCUGUCUCCUUCACUUGCUUCUCCCAGCCUGGUCUCUAAUUCAGAGACUGCAUCUACCUCUCAUAUGACUUCUGGACACUUGCAGUUGCUGGUCAUCAUGGUUGACAACAGGUGGUUUCCUGGGACCUCGGGCACCAGAUUUACUCUAGAAAUCCACCUCAGUGGCCGGCUGCUUGUGUAUUAGCUCUGCUGCUGCUUCCUGCUUUAUCUGCCCCAUUUUUAUUGGAUACUUCCUUGCACUUCAGCCUGCACCCGCUGGGUGGUUGUUUGGGGUUUUUCUUUACAGUGGGGUUAUCUGCAAGCAGAACCCUGUGCAGAAGUGUGCCCAGGAUCUUAGGCUUCAUAGAUGAAGCAAAUUCUCUUCCACCUCUGAGCUCAGGUUACAGGCAUUCAGCUUUAUCUGCCUUUGUACUCCAGGCUCAACACUUCUUUCUUUCAACUCUCCUAUAGUUGUUGCUUUUUUUCUUUUUUCUUUUUUUCCCUUCAGACCAUAAGUUUCAUCAGUAUCUGUGUACUUGGAUUAACUUGGCCUUGAAAAGCAGCUGACUAAGAAGCAUUUGGUCAAAAUCGAGAAGAUCUGAUUUUCAGAAGAAAAAAAAAAAAGUCCAGCUAACAAAAUCCCUCGAAGAGAAUAUCCUGUUGUACACUGAGGUGCCCUGGCUGUCAGUGCUUAGAAGCUGACCAAAGCGGACAGAGCUGCCCACCUGUGCCACAUUUCUGUUGCCAGCAGAACGUGAACCACUAUGAAAUGAUACAUGGGUGAGUACCACCAAACCUGGUGCUACUGAGUAGUACUGGGGAAAAAAAAAUAAAGGAGGGAAAAAAAAGGAAAAAAAAAAAAAAAGAAGAAGAAGAGUGGAGUGCUGGCCUGCAUGCCUAGCCAACGCACUACCUGCAUGCUUUGUGUUGCCCUUUUUGCCCUCCUGCAAGCUUAGUUUCAUCCUCUAUAACAGAGAGCCCUACAGCUGUUAUAGAUCUGCUGUGGAAAAAGCCUGCUCACUCUGUGUGCCCUGAGGAACAAUUUGGGGAACUCAGGUAUGAGCUCCAUUCAGACAAGAGUUUAUUUUGUACUAACAGAAGUCAAAAGAAAACAAAGCCUCCUGAAUAAAUGCAUUUCCGUAGUAGCUGUUAAGUAUAUUAAAGUCAUUCCAAAGUAAUUGCUAAUUAUAUUACUUUAUUACAAGGCACAAUUAAAUAUGUGCUUGAGGUCAUCCAGCUAUUUGCUGUUUCAAGGAAAGCACUUGAGUCAAAAGGAUUUCCUAAAUGGAGUCAUUCAGUGUUUUAUUUCUCCGACUUCAGGAAUUAUUCUAGAUAUGAAUAAUUGGACAUUGAAUAAUCAGUGAAAUACUAUUUCCAUAAAUUGUUUGUG
ensembl:lncRNA